UACGUAGGGGGCAAGCGUUGUCCGGAUUUACUGGGUGUAAAGGGUGCGUAGGCGGCUUUGCAAGUCAGAAGUGAAAUCUAUGGGCUUAACCCAUAAACUGCUUUUGAAACUGCAGGGCUUGAGUGAAGUAGAGGUAGGCGGAAUUCCCGGUGUAGCGGUGAAAUGCGUAGAGAUCGGGAGGAACACCAGUGGCGAAGGCGGCCUACUGGGCUUUAACUGACGCUGAGGCACGAAAGCGUGGGUAGCAAACAGG
rnacentral:rRNA from 1 species